CCCUUCCCGGUACAGGACCCCCACCUUCGCUCCUGGGAGCCCCGCUGCACCCCAGGAGUUCCAUUCCAGCCUCCCCAGUGCGAGUGCGGCCGAGCGCUGACUUUUGGGGGCUCCCUCCCCCGUCUCACUGGGUCCCUCUGCGGCUCCCCCGCCCGCUGUCCCGGUUCAGACGUGGCUGCACCCCGGAGGGGGGCGCCGGCCGAGACCUGAGACGUGGCGCUCCCUCUCUGCCGGCCUCGGCUUCAGGUACGUGCGGUUCCCUCGGCUAAAUCUGGCCCGGGGGAUGGGGGGCAGGGGCCGUCUGGUCCUCCGGAACUCGAACUUUGUGAUUUUGUUCUUUCUGUGUGACAUCCUCAUCCGUUCUGAGGGAGAAACUCCUUAAAGAAGACGAGAGAGUCAGUCGUUGCGGGUUCUUGGAGGAGCACUUUGGGGUGCUUGAAUUUCAGCCACAUCCCUAAGCUGCCAUCUCAGACCAGAGGAACAGGGAGGGGGGCUUUCUGGAAAGAACAUCACCUGGAAGAAAUCAGGACAUGACUGUGGGCCAUGAGUGACCUUCAAAGGAAAGCCGGGUAUCUGUGGUCUUUAAGAUGUGAUCCAUGACAUUUAAAAACUGAAGAAAUGGAAAGAUCAUCUGAUCAGGCCCAUCAGUCUUUUUCCUAAUGCUAAACAUUGGUACAAAGACGUGAAGUUUGAUGUCUCACUAAGAUUGCCUAGGGCUGCUUUAUUGCUCACCUACUUCAAAGUAUUGGGAAAACAUGAUUAUGGGUACAGGUGAUGCUGUGUUGCCCCCAGACAGGUUUCUUUUGUCAGGUUCUUUUGAUGGAUUAGGAACCUACAAGUGGGGAGAUUUUAGGGAAAUAGCCCCUCCACUUGGAUUUCACCAAAACGUCUUUAGGGUUCUCUUACCCCAAGAAACACGCAUUCCUCUUUAGUGUGGCAGCCCACUCUAUUGGCAAAGUUAAGCAGACCAGUUUUACUAAAAAGGAGCCACCCAGAAACUUAGACAGAAAAUACUUGAGGCACAGAUGAGAAUGAGCACAAAUGUGCAUAGCAAGUGCAGUUUCCUGGCCCUUAAACUGAAGGGCCAGGUCAGUCUGCUCCUCCAGGCACAGCCUGGGACCCCAUCAUGUGCCCCACUCUGCAGUCUGAGCUUCCACUCAAGUCCACCAGGGCCUGCCUCACAUAUAUAUACAAGACCCAAUGUCAGAGUCUGCCUCUGCCCAUGUCUGGUCAGAGGGUUGCACUUUGCCACUGCUACAUGUUCCCAGAGGUUGGCACAGCAUGACCUGGACCUCACCUAACCCAGGCAAACUCUGCUCAUCUUCGAGCUCUCUGGAACCCAUUUCUCAAGGGAGAACCACAUUCCCCCACCUCACAGCCAAGUUCAAGGAAGCAGCCUGGCUAAAGCAAUGACUCAAGGAUACCAGAAGCAGAGCACGCAUUUAAGAAGAUGCGCUGACUCGCAGGAGCAGCUGACUCUUCUUAAGAAGAGUUUACUGAUUCUUCUUUCAGUACGGGCCUUUUAAUAAGAUAUUGUAUUUUACUUCAGCUAUGGGUGCAGACAAUUAAAGGAUU
rnacentral:lncRNA from 10 species